rnacentral:rRNA from 1 species
CGGUGGAUGAUGUUGGUUUAAUUCGAUGACAACGACGAAAACCUUACCCACCUUUGACAUGGCAGGAAUCCUGAAGAGAUUUAGGAGUGCUCGAAAGAGAACCUGCACACAGGUGCUGCAUGGCUGUCGUCAGCUCGUGUCGUGGGAUGUUGGGUUAAGUCCCGCAACGAGCGCAACCCUUGCCAUUAGUUGCUACGAAAGGGCACUCUAAUGGGACUGCCGGUGACAAACCGGAGGAAGGUGGGGAUGACGUCAAGUCCUCAUGGCCCUUAUAGGUGGGGCUACACACGUCAUACAAUGGCCGGUACAGAGGGUAGCCAACCCGCGAGGGGGAGCCAAUCCCACAAAGCCGGUCGUAGUCCGGAUCGCAGUCUGCAACUCGACUGCGUGAAGUCGGAAUCGCUAGUAAUCGCGGAUCAGCAUGUCGCGGUGAAUACGUUCCCGGGUCUU